GCCCGGGGCCUUGCUGGCUGAAGCCCACUGCAGACUUUUCUCCGUGGGCAGGAGACAGCAGGGCCCUGGCGC
ensembl:miRNA